UACGAAGGGGGCGAGCGUUGUUCGGAUUUACUGGGCGUAAAGGGUGCGUAGGCGGCGCGGUAAGUCGGGUGUGAAAUCUCGGGGCUUAACUCCGAGACUGCAUUCGAUACUGCCGUGCUUGAGGACUGGAGAGGAGACUGGAAUUUACGGUGUAGCGGUGAAAUGCGUAGAUAUCGUAAGGAAGACCAGUGGCGAAGGCGGGUCUCUGGACAGUUCCUGACGCUGAGGCACGAAGGCCAGGGGAGCAAACGGG
rnacentral:rRNA from 1 species